rnacentral:sRNA from 1 species
CCACCUUAAUUUGUGUUGCGAUGUUGCGC